AUUCCAACGGGGUAAAGAAGUUCGGUGUAGAAAGCUUGCCAACACUCCGUGGUGUAGUAACAGGAGCAGAAGUCGUACAGUGAUAUACCUUUUGAGCACGCAACGCAGGACGCAUGUGCACAUGGAAUUUGUCGCAUCUGAAACUCUCGGCAUGAACAUGUCUUACCUACAAGGUCGACAGUACACAUUUCUGCACCCGUGCCAACCUCGAAAAUGAGUUCAUCCAAAUUUCGUAUAUCCAAGGUUGCACCGGCCUCAAAAGAUUGUCUCAAUUCCCCCUCCAUUUUUUAUGUCAACGCAAUAUAACAGUUGGUAGAUGCGUUUCUCCACUUGAAGAACCAUUGUUGCAUCAAUAUCGUAAUGUGUUGGACAACAAGGUUAUAGGGAAACUUCAUUGCUGCCUGAUGACUGAAUUCAAUGACUCUACAAUGUUAUUAGUCAUGACGUUGUACCGAUUACCAACAAAAUUUGCUCGUGACCAAGUAGAGGGACCAAGACAUUUCAAGUAAGAUGCGACUGCUGGCCGAAUGGUCCAAAUUUGUCUCAUCAUUUGCUGGAAUUCUGAUUUGCGAUAUGCUAGUGCUGCACUUUUGAAAAUGAAUAUG
rnacentral:lncRNA from 1 species